GGCCGACAGGCGUAGUCGAUGGACAACGGGUUGAUAUUCCCGUACCGGCGCUGACGCGCCCAUGCUGAACCUGGUUUGUGCUAACCGCUCGGUUCUUGUUCUGCCUUCGGGUGGGGCUUGGGCUGGCCGGGACCCCGGCUGGUAGUAGGCAA
rnacentral:rRNA from 1 species